ACGCUUAUAAAACCUUCAGCCAAAUUGCUUGGCCUUGUGAUAACGCCUCUAAACCACUUCAGAUAAUUAUUUUACAAAGGUCCAAGACCAUCAAAUACUUGAAUUAUUUUUUCCUGGGUUUUAUUUUUUUCAUGGCUUGUAUUAACUGGCCAUGGUUGGGAGACCAAAACGACUUUCUCCUCUGUAUCCAAGUUUUUAAAAAAUAUUUUGGCUCGUGGUCACCCCUCUUUUUACUAUUCUACUAUCUGGGAUUCCCCAUAAUUGGUUACAGCGCUGCUCGCAUUUUUUUCAUAAUCUUGUACGGAGUUUUGCAUUUGGAACUCCAAAUUCGGCUCAUAACUGAGCUUUUUUGCAAAAUAUCUCGUAAUGCGACACUCGAAGACGUUAGAAAUGCUAAAUAUCAGAGGGAUGUUUACUGGACGUUGCGUGAGGGCAUUAGACAUGACACUGCGCUAAAAAAAGUUUUGUUCGAUUUGAACAAAGAAGUUAAACACGGUAUUCCUGUUUUUCUAAUUGUAACACUUCUUUGCUCAGUUUCUAUCUUUUUCUUUGCGAUCACGUACUUGGAGAGUAUGGGCUUUGGAAUACAAAUUCGAACGAUAGCGUUUGUCGGUGCGGUAAUUUUUGUUCUUUUUAGUUAUUCUUUGCUCGGUCAACACCUCAUUAAUCAGACAAGUUUGCUGUUUGAUCAACUUUAUGAAUGUCCCUGGUAUACGUGGAAUGUGAAAAAUCGUGCAAUUUAUCUCAAUUUUAUGCUAAAUACAGUUCGUCCUAUUAAAAUUACGUAUGCUGGCAUUUGUAUUGAUAGCAGGUUUU